UAUAUAGCUCUCGAUGAGAAAUUAAUAUUUUUCUUUUAUCAUAAAAAUUGAUUCUACAUCUUGAAAAUUGUUAAUCACCUAGCAAUUUACUGGAGCAAUAUGCUUUUAUCGAUAUAAAAUUAUGGAAUCAGAAGACGCAUCAUUAGCACAAGCGAAGAACCGAGAACACGUCGAGGAAGAAAAUAUCUACAAAAUCGUAUAAUCCAAAGUGUACGAAGAUCGCAUCAGUUAUAUAAAUACAAUACUUGCCUCGAGGGACUUGGCUAGUCUUCCUUCAAGCAAUAUUUUGUCAUGUUCGACAAUAACAAUAGUGGUAGAAGCUGUAGAACAUUUUGAUCCUUCAAUAUGAUAGAAAUCUGGUUGACGUCGUGAUGAAAUUCCAGAGAUAAUUGCAGCAACGUUUGAAUGGUGAUGAAUAACGGAUAUUCAGAGAGAUCUAGAGCGAUUCUUAUGAUUGUGUCAAAUUUGGUAUUACGAAUAGUUAAGAUUGAUGACGACUUCGUGAUAAAUCCAACGUUGAAAAAGGAACUCGUGCAGUGCGACUAGUCUCGUUACGUCCAAGCAGCAAAGUGACGUCGUUGAUCAAGCUGGGAUAUUAGCCCGCUGCCUAAUACCUUGAGAUAUUGAAGAAAAAAGGCUCUCAGUCUCUCAAGUUCUUAAGAAAAGAUUGAAGAAAGAAAAUAAGCCCCUAUGCGAGUUCCUCAGAUAAUACGUGUGUGCUAGUGUCGUAAAUUCUAAAAGAACACAAUUGGACCGUGAAAGCGCGAUGAUCCGAGAUGCAACCGGACUUGAAAAAUUUUUAAGAGCGUAAUCUCAACAAUAUCGCCUGUAAUAUCCGAGGAGGACGAUUACAUAAUCGAUAUAUAUCGUCGACGGGUCGUCGAUGAUUUCUUUGUCUUUUUUUCAUUUCCCUUCUCGUCUCUAUUUCGAAGCCUAUCAAAGUGAGAAGAAGGUGAAGAAGUGAAAACACGCUGAUUUUAUAGAACUUCCCAGCAGCUCUGGCGGAUUUACAAGGCUCUUGGAAAAAUGGUGAGAGAAUUAUUUUCGCUUACAAAUAAAUCCUUGUAUCUAUGUAUACAUACAUAUACAUGUAUAUAUAUGUAUAUCGACACACACGGACAGGAAUAUAAACUCUGCGGCGCGAAACAAUCACGUUGACAUUUUAGUUCUGUCAGCUGUGCGACUCGAUUUUAAUUUUAACAACGGAUUCCUCUCUCUCGAAUAUGAAGUAUAUAUUUUUUCUCAACUAAAGAUUGUCAAAAAAUGUCUUCCCUUUUUUCAUAAAUUAAUAAUUUGCAAAAUAAAUGCCCUCGCUUCUUAAUUAAUUGCGAGAAAUAAAAUAAGAUAAAAUAAAUUUGUUCUUUGAAUUUUAACAACUCAGGGAAGAAUCUAUUGAAAUAUAGAGUAUAUUGAAGAAAUCGCUGUUAAACUUAAAAGUCGAGGAAACAUCCUACACACACCCUCGCAACCGGGAUCGUCCCGUGAAACGACCCUCGAGCUAUAUAAGUCGUUCGUUUUCGUUAGUUGAAUCACGCGUUAUAAGACGUAAUUGUCGGAGGUACAGCCACGCGAUACUUUUUUUUUGUUUUUAAUACACUGCGCGAGAGAAAUGCGUUUUUUCAAGUACAUAGAUACAAUAUAAGAAUCGCGUUAAUGGCGCAUAAAAAUAUUCUCGAUGCUCCUCUCAGUUAAUAAGGGACGGGAUGACUCGCGCGAUAUAUUUUGCCAAUGAUGAACGAAAAAGGGAACAAAAACAAAGAAUGGCAAGAUGAUGCGAAUGACGAUGAUAACGGAAAUAUAUUUUGUGUAUGUGCGUGUGUAUAUAUAUAAGUGUGCGAAUGUAUUUGCGGGUGUGAAAAUUUGCUCUCGAGUCACAAUCGGUCAUCAUUUGUCCUCUUUUUUUUUUUUUUUUGCGAAAUCACAAAAUUGUUAUCGUCAAUAUCUAAUUCCUGACAGCAAAAGGUAAAUGGAAAAAAAAUUAAAUUAGAAACGAUACAGAUCAAUCAUGUUCACAUAUUAAAUAUGUGUUGUAAAAUCGUUUCCAACUUGAUUUUUCGAGAGGUUUGAAUGAACUUCUUCGGCAAAAGAAGAAUCUGCAAAAUUGCGAAAAUUACCCCAAAAAGUUAGGUUUAUAUUUAACUUUGCUUUCUCGAAACCUUCGUGAAAUUAAUCUGAAUUUCGGAUUUUCGCAUUCUGCGUCAAUAUUGUGCAUAUUUAAGCGCAGAAUAAGAGAGAGAGAACGAUUAUUCGCGGUCCUAGGAAAAUCAGAAAAAUUGAAAAAUGGCGACGAUCAAGUUAGCUCAGGUGAAGAGGGACGAGAUGACGUCGUAACGUCGUGACAAUAAUGGAAGAUGACAAUGCGUGUUCGUAGGUGUAAUCAUACGUGCCCGUCGUGUGUGUGUGUGUGUGUGUGUGUUCGUGUGCGUGCGUGUAACACAAAGGUAUACAUAAUAACAGCGCGUCUUUAUUAUUUGGCAGUGUAAGGCAUAUAGAGUGCUUAAGACUAGAAUAAGGUGCAGUAAAUAGGCCUCUUAAAGCCUGUUUCAAACGAAGUCCUAUCAUUGUAUGUUAUUUAUAUUAUAAUACGGACCUAAAAGAGAGAGAAUUCUCU